rnacentral:rRNA from 1 species
CAGCCGCCGCGGGAAAACGUAGGGUGCGAGCGUUAAUCGGAAUUACUGGGCGUAAAGCGUGCGCAGGCGGUUCGUUAAGACAGAUGUGAAAUCCCCGGGCUUAACCUGGGAACUGCAUUUGUGACUGGCGAGCUAGAGUAUGGCAGAGGGGGGUAGAAUUCCACGUGUAGCAGUGAAAUGCGUAGAGAUGUGGAGGAAUACCGAUGGCGAAGGCAGCCCCCUGGGCCAAUACUGACGCUCAUGCACGAAAGCGUGGGGAGCAAACAGGAUUAGAUACCCGGGUAGUCCCUGUCUCUUAUAC